rnacentral:lncRNA from 1 species
CGGAUAUUACAGCUUAUACAAUUAAUCAAUGUGGGAUUCUAACAUACUCUGCACAAGUCAGGAGUGUGAACUAUCAUAACAUGGGUGGCCCAACAUCAAGGAUAAAUCGAGCACUAGAAUUAUGGCUCUAAUGCCAUGAAAAAACACUGACUUUAGCCCUCAUUUGAUAGAAACCUUUGGAAAUCCUCACAACAAUGAGAGACAGGUGAUAUAUUCUCUAAUACCCUCCCGCAUUUGUAACUCUGUUCUAGAGCUUACAGAUGAAUUUGAAUCUUUUUCUAUUUUUUAUUUUUUUGCUUUUAAAUGUUUCCCUUAUGUUUUGUUUAGAUCAGUUUUUCUCUUAUGUUUUAUUUGAGGAAGUGGGAUUGGCUUAAGAAGAGGAGCGCGAAUGUAUACACACGCACGCAGAGAGAGGAUAUGCUCACAGAUAAAGAAGAGGCUUGAAACAGAUGCAGACAGUAAGCUCAACAGGUAGAGGAGUACUGGAGCAAAGUUAAUGACUCAAUAAGCUGAAUUGAGAGAGAGAAGCUCAAGCAGCUCAUGACUAAGUUAAGAGAGAGAGUCCAAAGCAAUAGAACACCUAGCGAGAACACAACUGUUAAAGGACUUGCCAAAUUUUGGCUCUAAUACCAUGUUAAGGAAAUGAACCUUGUGGGUUGUGCUUAACUAAAUCCCAAGAGAUAGCUCGAGAAUUGACCAAGACCAUAUAAAGAUACUACAAUCCAUGCACUUGACUGAUGUGGGAUUCCAACACCUUGAUUUAUUGUACACAACCUCAUUUACUGAGGUUUUAGAUCAUUAUUUUCCCAGAAACUUAAUUUUGGAAAGAAAAAAGCAAAGAAGUAAAGUUCCACCAACCUCAUUUACUAAGGUUUUAGAUCAUUAUUUUCCCAGAAACUUAAUUUUGGAAAGAAAAAAGCAAAGAAGUAAAGUUCCACCACUCAUAUAAUGAAUAUAAUCAGCACAUUCUAUUCAGAAAGAAAAGGAACCAAAUGUGUAACAAGCAAGAGAGCAAACCAAAUGAGGAAUCUAUCCAUCAU